GCAGAGUGUACAAUGUGCUACCAGAGAGCCGGCAGACAGUGUACGGAGAAACAGCAAGAGAGGGAGGCAAAGAAGAGGAAAGUGCCAGAGCUACCUACAAGUAGGAUCCCAGAAGCCAACGCUGCUGAUCCUGUCAGGAUACACCAGCCCACACGGUCAGGAUGGGCUGUACAACAGGCCAUUUGGCUUGCCAACCACAGCCGCAAACCAACUCGGGGCAGGAGGGUCAAUCGCUAGAGACUGGUGGGGCCAAAGUGCCCGAGGUGCUCUCCUCUCUGGAGCGUCUAUCCCAGGCUACUGGAGGAAUGGAGAAGUCCUGGUACCGCUGCAUCUUUCCAUUUGGAAUCAUCUCUUUAGUUAUCGGUGUAGCAGGAACGGGAGUGACCUACACUUAUAAUGACCUGCCUCAGACUAAAGUGGUGUCAGUUGUGCUACUCAUCAUGGGUAUUUUGCUGUUAAUGAUGGCAACUGCUUGUUGGACUGUCCACAAGAAGAAGAGAAGGAAAAAGAAAGAGGGGGGCUCAUUCACGUCUGAGCAGUGUCCCCUGUGAGCGAACACAGGGGUAUGAUAGAGGAGCUUGAAAGCAGAGACAUGCCUAGAGCUGGGAGCUCGAGGUUUGGCCAGAAAUUCUCCACUUCACCUCCCAAUGCAACAUCCCUCCAUUCUCCGAAGUCACAAAGUUGAGCUCAAAUCAUGUUGGAGAUAGCUUGGGUCAAGAAAUCAGAGUCAAAGGACAGAUAAACAUGACACUGAAGAUCUGUUUAGUCCGUGAGGUCUGCAUCAGAUUUUUUUGGAUUGGCAAUGAGAGAUCACCAGUGCCUCACACGCUCUUUUAUCAUCAGACAGCAGGUGUCCGGUGUCAAAACAACCUCCGAGGAGACGUGCAAAAACAUGCAUUGGACACUGCAUGCAUAUUUACACACACUAACAGGCCUAUGAUGACUUACGCACGAGCAGUUACAGCGGGAGCUCACACAGACACCUAACACGCUAUGCAGAGCUGCUGCUGGAGUCAGUGCUGGCGUCACUAGGCACGUCAGUCACAGCAUUCCUCGUAUCAGGACAGGUGACUCUCCAAGAGGCCACAAACGGGCCAAAGACGGCAACCUGAUACCCAGCCGAAAAAGCAACGCACCCACGUCAGCGGCCAACGUCAUUCACUCGUCCUGUGACACUACAGCAAUGUGUUGGGGGCUUUUUUUGCGCAAUGGGAGAGUGGAACUUGAGUCCUGCUGGAUCUUACUGGCAUCUGUGUGGACGAUCAGUUGGAGAGGGUAGAGGACCUGCUGGAGGAGUGCAAAGUGUUUGUGUGUGCUCAAAUUAAGAUCCAGCUCAACUGAGAGACUUUUGGAAUUUGGUCCUCACAAUGAAGGAAAAAGAGAUUUGCACAUAUGACCAUGUCCAUGGCAAACAAGAAAACAUUUUAAGUAAAGCGACAUACCCUGAAAGGCCUUAUGUAGCUUCAGGUUCACAUUACAAAGGACUGGGGACCUGAUUAUGACUGACUUGAUUGCCUUUCUUUUCAAUAAGUGAGCAUUUACACUCAGCCCUAUGUCUUUGUGGGACACCUCAACUCCACACAAGGGAGUCCAGGAUUAUUGAAGGACACUGCCCUAGGGGACAUGCCACAGCAGGAACACUUUGACUGAUCCUGCUCCCCUAGGGCCCCUCCCGUUUGGUGCCUUGAGCAACCACUCAUGGAAAAAAGCUCUGCCACAUUCCCCCACUCCAAGAGUUACCCCCCUUUGCUUUCUCUCUUUACCCAACAGGACUCUUCAAAUCUGUUUCUCAUUCUACAUUGCCAGCUUCUGACUCAAUCAUACUCAUUUUCCCAUUGUUGUAUAGCCCAGGAGGUGUGUGGACAGACUUAUUACGCUCAAAUUAAGACACACACUUACACGACAGCCUCACAGUCUGCAGACAUUCAUGCAGUCUUUAUCUAUCUGUGCCAAAGGAAUUGGUUUAUUAAUUUUUUCCCCCCACUGUGGAAAAAAUGUUGAUUAAAAGUGAGUCACAAAAUCCUUUGUGAAUCAGAAAAUAGAAUACAAGGCUGUUCUCUGGUGAAAAUUGAGUAAUGCGUAGGCUCUAAGUGGCUCUGGGGUUUCCUUUUCCUUCACAUUUUCUUUUAGAAAGAGUGAGUGAAUGUAGCUGCGCUCAGCGCCACAUCUGUGAAUAGGUGCUUUCUCACAGGAUGAGAUAAACAAUGGCAUUUUACUCUGUCUUAAUCAUUCUCUUUUGUGUGACUGAAUGUAACAUGAGGUUCAAAACGUAACUCCCGCAGGGAGUAAGUGCAAUGUAUACAAUGUAUAGAAAUUUCAGAGAGGAUAAUUUGUCUCCAUGCGAAGGACUUACCCUCGAGAGCUACUAUAGAUCACUGUUGCAUUGAUUGUCUCCACUGGUUUAGUCAAGCUUGCUAAGGAAAAUCUGUCUGUAUAACCAGGGGUAACAGUUAAAUCGAAUGCCAAUCCCACUGAGGACCUUUUGAAGGCCAACUUGCCAAAUUCAAGGCUGCAUUGGUCAUCCUGCCCGACCUCAGUAGACUUGCAAAGAGUCGGCCCCUUUUCUUUUGACAUGUUUUGCGGCUCAGUGUGCAUUUAGAUGUUGUCUUGCAUCCUAAUGAAGGAAGACAAAUACAGUUAGGAGGUAAUGGAGAAAAACAAGGAACCUGGGAAGUCAUUCCUUUCACUACAUGUGGCAGUGAGUAGUUGCCCCAGCAGUUAGAUUAGGAUCAGCCAUCCUGAACAAAGCAGUAAUAUUGUUGAGGAAUAUGAUGCAUUACUGGAAUCCAUGGCGAGAAUUUAAAUUGAAUAGGAGAGGAAUAAGUCUUCUCUGAACCUUAGAUCAGUGUGUUUGCAAACACCUGCAUACUGCAAGCCUUUAUAAAAAAAUUUUUUAGGUAAAUGUCAAAUGCACAAAGCUCAUAAAAGUAUUUAUGGGUGGGCCAUUGUUUUAGUAUCCUCUGAUGAAGACAAGUUAAGAAUUACAUUACAUGGGCUGUCUCACUUUGCUAUCAGAUUCGUUCACCUGGAUUAGGGUUUCUCUAACAAUGAUGGGCACGAGCUGUGGACAGAUGCGGUGGACCUGUCAGAGAUGUGGAAGAGAGGAUGUUUGGUGGCACAGAGAGGAAAAAAAGACGGUUAUGGAUCAGUUUACUGUGGGGAAACAGAGGAUCCCAAAAGCAAGAUAGGUGAUGUGCAUACGCUUAUACUCUCGCCUCUGUAUAGUGCACAUUAUAUAUGUAGUACACUUCGGCUGCAUUGUUGUACUUGUUAAUUUUAAAGCUAUAUCGUGCCAGUAUAUUGACACUAAACAAACAAAAAAAAAAUGAUGGAAGGUGACCAGAAAUUGUUUCUUGUUUCUUGGAGAUGUGAAGUGAUUUCCCUUCUGCCUUCUGAAAGAUUAAAGGGAAAACCUACCUCUCUCUGCUGCGGGGAAAAAUGUCCCUCUCCCAGAAGACAGCCACGCUGUCAGCCUAUGCUGUUUGUCACUCCGGCGAGUGACACAAAAUACGUUGGUUUGUGUGCCCACUAAUAUUUGGUGCUGUAUAUACAAUUAUUUUUCUAUUUGUACUGUAUAUUUCUACUCAUAUGUAAAUUUGAAUUGUUCAUGUAAGCACUGUAUUAAACAAAUGUCACAUAAGCACCUUUGUUUGUGAUAGCCUAAAGGUUAAAAAAAGAAAAAAAAACUUGUGCAUUCAUUGUAUGUCUUUGUACUUGUUUGCUUUGGAAAAUUAUUCAGAAUAGUGUGAACCGUCGCGCCAUUCCACUCUGUCCUGGUCAAUCUGGAAGAAUCUCUGACAGGGCUAAAAAUACAGAAGACAAGUGGAGAGUGGACAGUGGAUACAAAGUAGACCAACAUUGUUUUGGCUCUAUUUUGAACAGUGUGAACAAUAAUUGCAACCGUCGCUCUGCUUUUUCACAAAACGCAAAACCUGUCUUUAGUUGACGGCCUUCGCUUGAAAUUUUGAUGCUGUAUUUAGACGCGCUGCCAUGUGCUGCCCUGCCAGCUAGGAUGACUUGUUCAGAUACCCGGGGAUGAGGAAUCUGGUUGUUAAGAAAACAGACUGGCCAACAUCAAUCAGAAUAAAUGACACCACCUACUGGCAGUAGAAUAAAGUAGGCCAAGUACUCUCACUUGUUAUUAAGUCACAGUUCUGCAGGAGUUAAUUUUAUAUUUCUGGGUAUAAACAUAUUCCAUCAUAAUUAAAUUACAGCUGGGAAAGCGUGGGUGUGGAGGGAACAGUGCUUAGGUCUUGAUAAAAGGGUGGGUAGGCCAUUGGAGGGUAAAGUGCAGACGAGGUGGAAGUGGUCAGCUGGAUUGCUAGGGUCAGCACGGAUUACAGGAAACCAGACGGAAACAAGUCGUCCGCCUCUUUUUAUCCAGAACUUGGCCUCAAACCAAAACAUUCAGCACUAUUUGGCUCCUUAUCAGACUUUGAAUUAUGCAAAACUCAGUUUAAUACACACAAAACAGAAAAAAGAAGCAGACAGCACAAUUUGACACAGUAAAGUCGGGAUUGGAGUCAUCUGGUGUCCCAUGACUUUAUUUAUACUUUAUUCAAAUUUCGGAUCAACACCAUCUGUUCAAAAGACAAAUCCGGGUGUAUUUAAUUAGCUAGCAACUAAGGCUGGUUCCACAUAAUACCUUUGUAGCAGGAUGGAGUUACAUUUCAAUUCAUCUCCAGAUAUUAUGGGAGCUGUUUUGGAGACAGUUGUAGAUGAAAUUACACAUGCCUGGCCAGACGGUCAGAUUAAAUCACAAGCAAAAUAACAUUAAGCUGAAGUCUGUGUGUAGCUAUUGCAACAGAAACAAAUUUGAUGAGAAGGCAUUGGACUUAAUCACUCAGAGACUCGAGAAUACUUUAAUAAUCCAACAGUGACACAAACUAAAUGCUGGUUCUUAGUUUUAGGUAUUUCUGUAUGGGCAUCAGCAACACUGGAAAUUACAAACAGAUAGUAGCAAUCUUUUUCUCAUCAAUAAAGCUUGCAAAUUAAGUCACUGAAAUGUGAAGUCAUCUCCCAUUUACUUCCCAUAUAUAAACAAACUUUUUUACUACCAAUAAAAAUGACAGACCUUGCAGUUUUCUGAGCACAUUGAGCGUGGUUUUUAGCUUUAAUUAUUUUUGUUAAGGUUCAAAGCACCACCGGAUCUCCUCUCCCUCGCUCUUCCUGGUUACUUUGUGUUUUACUGAGAAAAUGGUUAAGAUUACUCUGAGUUUCUAUGGAAACUGCUGCGUUUAGUUGCGGAUGUUACAGCCCCUGCCCUCUCUGCGGUCACUCCGCUACAAGAUAAUUUGAUCAUCCUGCACCUCCAGUUUUAAAUAGCCUAAGAAUGAGCAAAUGAGCAAUUUAAACACUUGUAAGCUCGUGAUUAUAGAAGAAGAACGCCAAGAUGUCUUGUCUUAAUGCUUUUGUGAAUUACAUAAAAGUUUCAUGUAAACUUAUUUAGGCAUUUUCCUUUUUUUCCCUUUUUUUUUUUAAGGAACCUACUGAGUGGAAGAGGCAAUGCUGAGCACUGGCUAUUGUUAGUGAUGAUUAGAUUGGAUGAGCAGGUGAUGUGUGGAUCAAUAGAGAGCCUGAAAGGAACACAUGAUUACUCUUGGGAGGUUACGCUGCUCCCUUAAGACCCUUUUCAGAAAGACAAGCAAUGAAGAGAUACUAUUGAACUGAGAGAGUAUAGCAAAUAACAGUGGGGAUCAGACACAAUGGUCAUAAUCAGGGUGUCAUCUAAUUAAAGGCAGCUGCUUCAGAAGCUGAACCAGUCGCUUAUUUCUUUUAGUUACAUCUCUGCUUUAGCAAACAAAUAUUAUCAUAUGACAAACUCUCAGUCAUUUAAAAACACACAUUAAAACCUGCUUAUUCUUGCUGAGCAGGGUAUUGUGGUUUUUUUUAAUACCGUCGGUCUUAUUUAUGUCUAUUGAGAUUUUUCUCAUGAUGUUUUAUUGAGUUUAUUGUGUAUAUUAGUGUAUUUAUUAGUGAGUUUGUGU
ensembl:lncRNA